CCUACGGGAGGCAGCAGUAGGGAAUAUUGCACAAUGGGGGAAACCCUGAUGCAGCGAUGCCGCGUGAGUGAAGAAGUAUUUCGGUAUGUAAAGCUCUAUCAGCAGGGAAGAAGAAAGACGGUACCUGACUCAGAAGCCCCGGCUAACUACGUGCCAGCAGCCGCGGUAAUACGUAGGGGGCAAGCGUUAUCCGGAUUUACUGGGUUUAAAGGGAGCGUAGACGGCUGUGCAAGUCUGAGGUGAAAGCCCAGGGCUCAACCCUGGGACUGCUUUGGAAACUGUGGAGCUAGAGUGCUGGCGAGGUAAGUGGAAUUUCUGGUGUAGCGGUGAAAUGCGUAGAUAUUAGGAGGAACACCAGUGGCGAAGGCGGCUUACUGGACAAUAACUGACGUUGAGGCUCGAAAGCGUGGGGAGCAAACAGGAUUAGAUACCCCUGUAGUC
rnacentral:rRNA from 1 species